ACAGCUAGCUAUUUAGGUUAGAGUUUGAUCCUGGCUCAGGACGAACGCUGGCGGCGUGCUUAACACAUGCAAGUCAAGGGGGCCCGCAAGGGCAACCGGCGAACGGGUGCGUAACACGUGAGCAACCUGCCUUUGUGUGGGGGAUAGCCGGCCCAACGGCCGGGUAAUACCGCAUACGAUUCUUUGGGGGAGUCCCCAGGGAAGGAAACCUCCGGGGCACAAAGAGGGGCUCGCGGCCUAUCAGCUAGUUGGCGGGGUAAUGGCCCACCAAGGCGACGACGGGUAGCUGGUCUGAGAGGAUGGCCAGCCACAUUGGGACUGAGAGACGGCCCAGACUCCUACGGGAGGCAGCAGUGGGGAAUCUUGCGCAAUGGCCGAAAGGCUGACGCAGCGACGCCGCGUGUGGGAUGACGCCUUUCGGGGUGUAAACCACUGUUGCCCGGGACGAACAUGGUCUUUCGAGACCACUGACGGUACCGGGUGAGGAAGCACCGGCUAACUCCGUGCCAGCAGCCGCGGUAAU
rnacentral:rRNA from 1 species